UACGGAGGGUGCAAGCGUUAUCCGGAUUCACUGGGUUUAAAGGGUGCGUAGGUGGGUCUGUAAGUCCGUGGUGAAAUCUCUAGGCUUAACCUGGAAACUGCCAUGGAUACUAUAGGUCUUGAAUACUGUGGAGGUCAGCGGAAUAUGUCAUGUAGCGGUGAAAUGCUUAGAUAUGACAUAGAACACCAAUUGCGAAGGCAGCUGGCUACACAAAUAUUGACACUGAGGCACGAAAGCGUGGGUAGCGAACAGG
rnacentral:rRNA from 1 species